CAACUUGGAAAUAGCAAGGAGAAACAGCAUCUUCUCAAUUCUGUUGAAUAUGUUAAACAAAAUGCUUCUAAUAUAUUUUUGAAAAAAGAAAAAAGAAAUCAUGGGAAGAAACCAAAUCCAAACUAUCUUGAAAACCCCAUCACUAAAGCAAAGGAAUUAGACAUGGGAACCGCCACUAAGAUGUCGUAGGUGGUGGAUGGAAUCCUCGUGAGAGUAAGCGAGGACCCAGUGUGAGUUGGAUGCUGGUGAAUGAGAGAAGAAGAGACAGAGCCAAGCCCUAAUUCUGACGCACUCCCUCCCUCCCUAGCUCACUCUGGGAUCUCACACUUUCACCCACUGCUUGGGAGUGGCAGGGGCGUCGUCACGAAGGCCGUCCUGGUGGGCCCCGGCGGCAAUGGGGGUAGCGCGUUUGUUGGGUUGUAGACCGUGAGGAGCUGGAUUUGUGGGGUAUGAUCCAUCAUGGAGAGCGCUGGUGCUAAGGCGAUGCCCACGUUAUGCCUGACAGGACCAAAACAAUUGGUGUGCCGACACCGCCUCCAUCACCCUCCAUGGCUGUCUGUCUUGGCACCACCUUCACUUCUGCCGCUACGUGGCCACCGUGGCUGGGAUCCCAAAUGCUUCGUUUCGCAGUGCUCUACAGAAGAAGAUCCCUGCGAAAAGAUCCAUCUUUUUUCUGUAUCUUCACAGCAUUAGAUAUAAUGAAACUCUUCAGCUUGUGAGCUGAAGAGUUUCAUUAUAGCUUCUCUCAUUUUGUCUGUCUGUUUGCCUCUCUCGCUCGCUCUGCUCUCUUACAUUGCAUUGUCCUUCCUGCCGUACUCAGUCGAUUCUACCUACAGAUCCAAUGCCUCUCUCCCUCUCCUCUUUACUAGAGGUGAUCUAUGGCUUCUUCCCUGCUCAACAUCAUGUGCUCCUCUGCGUUAUGAAGUAACCCAUCCGGUGUUGUCGUGGUCGCAUUGCACUGAUUUGAGAGGAAUGCACUGACAAGAUGAUGGAGGGAGAGGUGAAAGAUGCUGGCGCCGCAUGCUCUACAGAAGAAGCAAUGCGUUGGGUUUCUAUGGGAGAAUCUUCUGGCCUGGAUUUGCCUCGGUUCCUGUGCAGGGGGUUACCAUCACUGCAAAACAGGGCAAGCUUUCGCUUUAUUCCAUCGAUUUUCUCGGUUGGAGGAUUGCAAGUUUGUUACGGAACUGCAUCGCAGUGGCAGUCUACAACACGCCAGUAGCGGGACAUGAGCAGAAUCGUCCGUGUGGGAGAAAGAUUGCGGGGCUGAUGCGAACGUUGCUAAGGGAUGACAGUGGAGACGACCUGGGCACACACACAUACUAAUGCUGAAGCCUGAAUUCCUUGCAGCGAAAGUGACAAUAACUGAAAUCAUGGCUUCAGCCAGGUACAAAACAAUCUGCCAAAUUGGAUCCAUCAUCCCCCGCCCAGUUAUGCGCACACACGGCGUGUGUGCGAGAGAGAGAAGAGGUGGGGGGUAAAGACCUCAAGACAACGACCCCAGCAAGCAGCCAUCGUUUCCUAAUGCUCAUGAACCUGCCUGUGCCCAGCUUGUUUUGUGUGGCUUUGAUGAAACGUACUAGCGGAGCUUCAUUUGGAAAAUGAGGAAGUUGUGGGGAAGAAGUCACUUCUGGCAGAUGAGUCUCCUUCUUUCUGUGGCUUUCACAGGCCAUUGUACAGGCUGCAGCCUGAAAGAUACAGUCCCAUCUGGACAUAGUACAGCUUUAUCCCAUUGGUCGACGUCUAUUCAGACUGCGGCUUUGACGAACUAAGUUUGUGGUGGCGUGGAGUCUCGUAAAAAACGCAUUAUCGUUGCAGUGUUUUGAAUCAUAGCCCCUGCAAAACUAUCAGGCUUCAGAACAGUACUCCGGAGGCAGGGAAUAUGUACCCUUUUCACACCUGUGGAGCUGAUGUGUGCUCAGGUUGUGAUUCGAAAUACUGACCUUCCUGGCAUUGUUAUAUCAUUUCAAAUUUUAGUGAAGGAAUCAAAAUAAACACACUGUCAUGAUACACUUAAACACAAAUUUAAUACAAGAGAGUUGAGUUAUUUCACACUUGCUAAAA